UGAGCUAUUAAAAUACAAUUUAUUGGUACAAAUCAGACAUUGUGAAGCAAACUUGGUUGAGAAAGAGCUGUCAUGUUCUGCACAGAUUGGAAAUGAACUGUCCCGUGACAGGAGCGAUUGGCAAUGGUGGCAGACAGACUGGGUGGACAGGUGUAGGGUGGUCAGGGCAGGGGAGAGACUGUUCUGGGGCUGGAUUCCUGCCCUUGAGAGCUUCUGACAGCCAACUUAGAGUCCUUAAAGAGAAGCAGGGCACAGUAGGAGAUGUCUGUCCUAUGCAGGUGGGGCCCCCAGUGCAGGGGGUCCCCCAGACGAUGAGGACUUGGGGAGAACAGAGACCCCGUUGAAGGUGAGGGCAAAAGGGAGGAGGGAAGAGGAUGUCACCUGUGCUGGGCUCCUCCGAUGGUUUUGUUCAGAUGAUGUUGUCUUGGUGUAGAGAGUUACCCAUCAGGGCCUCACCUUGUGUAUCUCUCAGCUGCUUAGCUAACAGUUCUUCUGGCCAUCCCACCUGCGUGUGCUCCAGCCCCUGCUGCUCCUGGAGCAAAGACUGGCUGUGUCCUGGACCCUGGCUGUGCCCUGGACUUUGGGUCUCCAGCCCAGAAAGAGUUGGGUCAGGGUUUGAAGAGAGGCACCCGUAAUGGCUGGGGUUUGCAUUCACUUCCCACAGAAGACAGACACCAAAAGCUGCUCUGGACAUGCAACACAUCCCACUGGAUCUCAGGGACAAAGCAAUGGUUGCUGCCCCAGUAUUUAUGGUCAGGCUUGACUAAACCAGGCUUAGUCUGCAUACAUUUUCCAUGCCUACUGGGACAGAAAUACAGGCAUGCAGCUCAGUACAUUCACACAGCCAGACAAGACAAAGAAGUGACAAUGUUUACAGAGAUGGACAGUCCCUAAGGGGCCAUGGGAAUGGGUAAACUCAAGGCAGAUUUGCUCAGAUCUGGUCAUAUGGACCCCGAAUAGCACCUGCUGCCAACACAGCACUGCAGGAUGAGAUGGGACAAAUACCCUCCCUCCAUCACUUUUUAGUCUCUUGCUCCUUAAACACUUUCCGCACACUCUGGUGAGCUCUAUCCCAGCAA
rnacentral:lncRNA from 1 species